AUUGAACGCUGGCGGCAGGCCUAACACAUGCAAGUCGAACGAGUGGCGGACGGGUGAGUAAUGUCUGGGAAACUGCCUGAUGGAGGGGGAUAACUACUGGAAACGGUAGCUAAUACCGCAUACCAUCGGAUGUGCCCAGAUGGGAUUAGCUAGUAGGUGGGGUAAAGGCUCACCUAGGCGACGGUCCCUAGCUGGUCUGCGAGGAUGACCAGCAACACGGGAACUAGGACACGGUCCAAACUCCUACGGGGGGCGGCAGUGGGGAAUAUUGCACAAUGGCGGCAAGCCUGAGGCAGCCAUGCCGGGGGUAUGAAGAGGGCCUUCGGGUUGUAAAGUACUUUCAGCGGGGAGGCGUUACCCGCAGAAGAAGCACCGGCUAACUCCGUGCCAGCAGCGCGGUAAUAC
rnacentral:rRNA from 1 species